rnacentral:rRNA from 1 species
UGGGGAAUAUUGCACAAUGGGCGCAAGCCUGAUGCAGCCAUGCCGCGUGUAUGAAGAAGGCCUUCGGGUUGUAAAGUACUUUCAGCGGGGAGGAAGGGAGUAAAGUUAAUACCUUUGCUCAUUGACGUUACCCGCAGAAGAAGCACCGGCUAACUCCGUGCCAGCAGCCGCGGUAAUACGGAGGGUGCAAGCGUUAAUCGGAAUUACUGGGCGUAAAGCGCACGCAGGCGGUUUGUUAAGUCAGAUGUGAAAUCCCCGGGCUCAACCUGGGAACUGCAUCUGAUACUGGCAAGCUUGAGUCUCGUAGAGGGGGGUAGAAUUCCGGGUGGAGCAGUGAAAUGCGUAGAGAUCUGGAGGAAUACCGGUGGCGAAGGCGGCCCCCUGGACGAAGACUAACGCUCAGGUGCGAAGGCGUGGGGGGCAAACAGG